rnacentral:misc_RNA from 1 species
GCAGGCAAAUUAAUUGAUUUGAAUUUUUAAAAGACAAGACCAUGUGACAUUUUAGUAGCCUCUUUUGAAGUUGAAACUUUACCCAUAGCAUUAAUGAGUUUGCUAGUGUUUUUUCGGGCCAUUGUAUAGGACACACUGAAUCCCAUAUUCCUCCAUUUUCUUUUUAAAUUGUCCUUUCACUUUGGAAGUUCAUUUGGUAGUUGCAAUUACUGGCCUGGAGGCUUUCUUGUUAUAAAUUUUUAUAGGGUGAACGAUUUUGCAGAAGGCUCUAUGAUCCCUAAUUUUUAAAUUUAAUCAAUUUGGUGAUUUUUUUUUUAUUUAGGAAAGUUUAUAUCUUUUAGGCUCUAUUUGUUUUGGUAAAAAUAUUUUUCGGAAAAAAAAAAUUUAUGAUGUGUACCAUUUUUUCAAUGAUUGGAAUAUAGAAGAAAAUUGGUUAAUGGAAAAUGUUUCUAUCAUCAAAAGGAAAACUAUUUCAUUUUAAAGGAAAAUGGCUUCUUAUUUUUAAAACUAGUUCAUUUUCUUGAUAAAAAUGUGAAGUCAUUUUCUGGACUUUUGCAAACUUACAUAUAUGGAUAGUACCUGUAAAUGAACCAUGUAUCCACAUACUUGUUCAGUGAUUACUGCCCUUAACCACCACUGGCUGUUGGGAACCACAACGAUUCUCCCCUUUUUUGAUUAAUUUUCUCUUAUAUUCGGCAAUAAAUGGAGAAUGGAUUUUUUUAUAGGCUUAAAUAUUUUCAAGAAAGAAAUGAAUUUUUUCCAUUGUUCUCCAAAUUUUAAUUUGAUUUUCAGAUUUACAGCUGAACAACAGAAAAUUCAUUUUCUCAGAAACUAUUUUCCUCAGACAAUUAUACACGAAACAAACAGUGGAAUAACAUGCAUUAUUGCAGAUAUUAUGAUUCAGUCAUGUACUUGCAAUUGUAGUAGCGUCAACCUGAUAAUCCUGCAUCAUUUUGUUGCAGGAACUCCUGACAAGACAUAAAU